UAGUGAAGAAGGUCAAGAAGUGAUGCACCAU
rnacentral:piRNA from 1 species